CCAAUAGCGUAUAUUAAAGUUGUUGCAGUUAAAAAGCUCGUAGUUGAAUUUCGGGGUCAGUAGGUUGGUCGUGCCACUGGUAUGCACUGGUCUCACUUAUUCCUCCUUCCUGAUGAGCCGUAAUGCCAUUAAUUUGGUGUUGCGGGGAAUCUGGACUGUUACUUUGAAAAAAUUAGAGUGUUUAACGCAGGCUCGCGCUUGAAUACAUUAGCAUGGAAUAAUGAAAUAGGACGUUUGAUCCUAUUUUGUUGGUUUCUAGGAUUGACGUAAUGAUUAAUAGGGAUAGUUGGGGGCAUUAGUAUUCAAUGGUCAGAGGUGAAAUUCUUGGAUUUAUUGAAGACUAACUACUGCGAAAGCAUUUGCCAAGGAUGUUUUCAUUAAUCAAGAACGAAAGUUAGGGGAUCGAAGACGAUCAGAUACCGUCGUAGUCUUAACCAUAAACUAUGCCGACUAGGGAUCGGAUGAUGUUAAUUUUUUAAUGACUCAUUCGGCGCCUUACG
rnacentral:rRNA from 1 species